UAACAAAACAAGAAACUAAAAGGGGCAAGUUACCCCCUCCAUUUUCGUGAACCAGGGAACAAAAUCCCUAGGUGCCAUUUUCGCACCUUCGUUUCCAGCGGAAGUGGCAACGGCGUGGCCCCAAGACGUCGUCCCCAACUCGAAGUUUCUCUCAGCAGUGGUUCUAUUCAACGGUGAUAGCGAAGACGAAGGGAAAGAAAUCCCAAAUCUCUUCAACGGUGACAGCGGUGGCGAUAAGCCACAAUGGUGGUUCUUCCGCGAGGAGGUGCUUCGAGUCCGGUGCUUCCGGCGAUGAUAAGGGAGCUGCUCUUGGAGACAUCAGUGCUACUGUUAGGGUCAUAAAUUAUUGGUCACCUUGCAAAUUACAUCUUCCUUUAACAGUGGCCCCAUGAAACCUUAUGCUAUAAGGACCUUGAAUGUUAUAACUUAAUUUGUCAAAGUGAUUGCCUCCUUUUGCUAUGUAUACGUUUAUCCAUUUUGCAAGUGUAAAUGUUUGUUUACAUUGAGUAGUGUGCGAGAGAGAUUGUUGAUAGGCUUUUCUAGCUAAUAUACUCAUGACCUUGUUUGGUAUGACAUUUUAUUUCCUUGGAGACUUUAAACUUAAGCAUCUGUCUAGAUCAUUGAUGUAACCAGAGAAUCUAGGUGUAAACCUUCUAUGUUCACUUUGUGCUUCAACCAUUGGAACAACUUGGCUUACUAUGAAGAGCAAAAAAAUGUGUCCUUA